rnacentral:rRNA from 1 species
AAACGACUCUCGGCAACGGAUAUCUAGGCUCUCGCAUCGAUGAAGAACGUAGCAAAAUGCGAUACUUGGUGUGAAUAGCAGAAUCCCGUGAACCAUCGAGUUUUUGAACGCAAGCUGCGCCCGAAGCCAUUAGGCUGAGGGCACGUCUGCCUGGGCGUCUCAUA